UACAGAGGUCUCAAGCGUUGUUCGGAUUCAUUGGGCGUAAAGAGCGUGUAGGCGGCUAUACAGGUCCGUUGUGAAAACUGGAGGCUUAACCUCCAGACGUCGAUGGAAACCGUAUGGCUAGAGUCCGGAAGAGGAGAGUGGAAUUCCUGGUGUAGCGGUGAAAUGCGCAGAUAUCAGGAAGAACACCCGUGGCGAAGGCGGCUCUCUGGGACGGUACUGACGCUGAGACGCGAAAGCGUGGGGAGCGAACAGG
rnacentral:rRNA from 1 species